GAGUGUCAGGUAAGUAAAUACAAUCACUUGGGGGUGCCUUACUUUUAGCACCCCAAGUAUAAAAUGUGUUUCCUUCUCCUUUAAAAUAGGUUUCCGGAUAACAGAUCCCAUACCUGUACUUUCAACACAAGUCUGCAGUGUAUUUUUGCUAGCUAAUGUAAUAAAGGUUACAACAUUUGCAUCAAGUCUUUCCAUAGCAACCAGUCAGGUGUUUGUAGGGCCCUGAGAUUUCUGUGGUAGCUCCAGUGUGGACAAAUAUCUUUAGGAUCAUCAAGACAAGACAUUGUUCAAGCACAACUGCAAAGUCUUCUAAUGUUCUAUUAGUUAAAAAAUGCAAAGGCAGACUACAGCAACACGGUAGGCAGCAGGCAAAGACAGUUAGUCAGUAGUUAGUUCAGUAUACAGAUAUACUGUUUAAAAGAAGUUAUAAAAACCUUAAACAGUUAUGGGAUCCAUUAUCCAGGAACUCGGGAUCCAGAAAGCUCUGAGUUAAGGAAAGAAUGAUUUCCUUUAUCUCUGAAAUAAUAAAAAAGAACCUUGUACUUGAUCCAAAGGGCCCUCCUAGCAGUCACAGGGGACCCCUUCCGAUGCACAGCAUCACGCCGCAUCACAUCUCUUUUUUCAAGGGGGGGGGCACUCGAUUGGGUGGAUCAGGCCAGGGCCCACUAGGUUUUUUCCCCCGUGUCUUGUAGGCCCAGUCCGAUCCUACCUUACUGGAAGCAAAACCAGCUUAUUCGGUUUAUUUAAAGUUUACAUGAUUUUCUAGUAGACUUACUACUAUGGGGUUCCAUAUUAUGGAAAGAUCUGUAAAAAAGAAAACCCCAGGUCUUCUGAACAAUAGGUCCCUUACCUGUAAGAUACCAAAGAUUCUGGUUAAAAAAGUCUUCUAGAGAUAUUUCAUUAUCUGAGAUAACACCCUAAACAUUUGUCAGCCGUCAGCAGAACAGGAAAGGAAGUAUUCAGAUCACAUUUCCACUUGCUGGAAAUGAAUUCUUACAUAGACCAUGAUAAUGUGUCAAUGCACUCUGUCAGGAGGCAUUCAGAUUCAUUCAUGAUUGUACUAGCCUUCCCUGUAGUAUAGUCAUGUGAUUGUUCUGUUAACAAAAGUCCUUCAUCCCUAUAUUUUUAAAGAACUUCUUGAAAAAUACAGGAGUUAAACAAGUCAUCCAAAACUUCAAGGGCGUAACUACAGAUGAACUGCAGAAAGUAUAGGGGCCCGACAAGGCCAUAAAUAAUGAACCAUUUCAACAUAUAUUGGUAAAAAAGAACCUCUAGUUAUGUUGGUGGCCAUAAAAUUCUUUUGCUGUGGGGCCCAGUAACAUGUAGUUACACCACUGCAAAGUUUGUAUGUAUAAGAGAUGGCUUGUUGGUCUUGGAAAACAGCAGAAUAGAGCCCUUGAACAUUUCAGCAUAAAGGUGUUAUCGUGGAAAAAAAUGCAUGGAAUUUAUAGAGCAGCACGAUUAAUGAUUUGUCGGAGAGAUAUUGAAUGCAAUAGAAGAUAUAGUAAAUGUUCCUGGCAGUGACUAAUGUAUAGAGCAGAUAAACUGUCAGAAUAGGAGGGUCCAAUCCUGAAGGUGCCUUAACCAGAGGUGUAUAGCCCCAUGGUUUAGAGUAAUUUGUUAAAUACGCGAUUUCUUGUACUAAAAUGUUUGAUCUAGGCAAUUGAAAAAUAAAAACAUAAGUAAAUUGGCCCCUCAAUGCAGUGCAGCUAGCCCUGGUGCUAAAUACUACAUUGCUGAUACACUUUGCUGGGCCAGGUGGGGUUCUAAUUUUGUCAAUGCUGACAUAGAGUACCUUCAGUUUCAUUGUUUGCCCUGUUUAGCUCAAAAAACUGAUGUUUUCAUGAUUUAUGUAUAUUAACAUGCAAAAAGUUUGUUCAACAUAAGCCGUAUAGACUGAAUAUGUUAAACAAGGGGGUAUACUGCAUCUUUAAUUACUUACAUUUCAUUUAAUUCUGUGACUUUUAGCUCUGAUUAUGUUCAAGUCCUCUUACUGAAGAACACAUGCGCUUCACAAUGGGGUAAUAUUUCCAUAAGGUGGCUUCUAGAUAUGUUUUAGGUUAACUUCAUGCAGUUUAUUUAGCUAUACAGGGAUCAGAUUGCAGUUUGGUGCUCUGUUCACACAUACGUUUUCUCUUAUGUAAUAAAACCCAAAUGCUAUUUUA